UACGUAGGGCGCAAGCGUUAUCCGGAAUUAUUGGGCGUAAAGAGCUCGUAGGCGGUUUGUCGCGUCUGCCGUGAAAGUCCGGGGCUCAACUCCGGAUCUGCGGUGGGUACGGGCAGACUAGAGUGCAGUAGGGGAGACUGGAAUUCCUGGUGUAGCGGUGGAAUGCGCAGAUAUCAGGAAGAACACCGAUGGCGAAGGCAGUUCUCUGGGCCGUAACUGACGCUGAGGAGCGAAAGCGUGGGGAGCGAACAGG
rnacentral:rRNA from 1 species